rnacentral:sRNA from 1 species
UUUUGUUCAUUUUUUUUCUUCUUCUUUUUGUCGUUUU